rnacentral:rRNA from 1 species
UACAGAGGUCUCAAGCGUUGUUCGGAUUCAUUGGGCGUAAAGGGUGCGUAGGCGGCGCGGUAAGUCAGGGGUGAAAUCCUGGAGCUCAACUCCAGAACUGCCUUUGAUACUGGCGAUCUCGAGUCCGGGAGAGGUGAGUGGAACUGCGAGUGUAGAGGUGAAAAUUCGUAGAUAUUCGCAAGAACACCAGUGGCGAAGGCGGCUCACUGGCCCGGUACUGACGCUGAGGUGCGAAAGCGUGGGGGAGCAAACAGG